UACGUAGGGUGCAAGCGUUGUCCGGAAUUAUUGGGCGUGAAGAGCUCGUAGGCGGUCUGUCGCGUCUGCUGUGAAAACUCGGGGCUUAACCCCGGGCCUGCAGUGGGUACGGGCAGACUAGAGUGCGGUAGGGGAGACUGGAAUUCCUGGUGUAGCGGUGAAAUGCGCAGAUAUCAGGAGGAACACCGGGGGCGAAGGCGGGUCUCUGGGCAUUAACUGACGCUGAGGAGCGAAAGCAUGGGGAGCGAACAGG
rnacentral:rRNA from 1 species